rnacentral:sRNA from 1 species
GGCCCAGUGCCCUGUUUUAGCCUCUGCCCAAGGUCCCCUCUGUAAGGCACAGGGUCCUCUUUCAAUAAGGAGGAGAAAGGACAGAGCACUGAAUCAAAUUCCUUCCCUGGUCCCCAAGGAAAGAAGAAAACUUUUAAGGUAUCUAGUCUGGAGCACAGAAACUUAGAUCUUCUUGGUUAAAUAUUCAUCUUUGUUCCUUCAUAAUGUGUAGAUAAAGGCUGUUCCCCUCUUCUCCUCAUCCUAACUCCCUAAAAGCACUGCAAGUCUUGCUUAUUUCCUAGAACUUUUGCUUUCCCUUUCUUUUUCUUAGUUGGAAAGUUGUAUAGCAGAAAACUUUUUAUGUGGGCCUGAGAAGACUCCUAAAGACUUUCCUUCCCCUUUGCAUUUCAGACAGAAAAGGAUAUCAUCUUGCGGGAGGACUUAGAGGAACUGCAGGCCCGCUAUCCCAAUCGCUUUAAGCUCUGGUUCACUCUGGAUCAUCCCCCAAAAGAUUGGGCCUACAGCAAGGGCUUUGUGACUGCCGACAUGAUCCGGGAACACCUGCCUGCUCCAGGGGAUGAUGUGCUGGUACUGCUUUGUGGGCCACCCCCAAUGGUGCAGCUGGCCUGCCAUCCCAACUUGGACAAACUGGGCUACUCAC